rfam:Triticum urartu cultivar G1812 contig409063, whole genome shotgun sequence.
UAUGUACUCCCUCCGUUUCAAAAUUCUUGUCUUAGAUUUGUCUAGAUAGAGAUGUAUCUAAUACUAAAAUGUGACUUGAUAUAACCGUAUCUAAAUAAAUUUUAAGACAAGAAUUUUGAGACGAAGGGAGUAGGUA